AGAGAGAGAGACAGAGACAGAGACAGAGAGAGAGAGAGAGAGAGAGAGAGACAGACAGACAGACAGACAGACAGACAGACAGGUGCACAGCAACAACAGUAUUGGCAAUGGCAA